UGGGCCUACGGGGCGCAGCAGUGAGGAGUAUUGGUCAAUGGUCGGGAGACUGAACCAGCCAAGCCGCGUGAGGGAUGAAGGUACAGAGUAUCGUAAACCUCUUUUGUCAGGGAACAAAGGCGGGGACGUGUCCCCGGAUGAGUGUACCUGAAGAAAAAGCAUCGGCUAACUCCGUGCCAGCAGCCGCGGUAAUACGGAGGAUGCGAGCGUUAUCCGGAUUUAUUGGGUUUAAAGGGUGCGCAGGCGGUCUGUUAAGUCAGCGGUCAAAGCCCGGGGCUCAAACACGGGCCGCCGUUGAAAAUGGG
rnacentral:rRNA from 1 species